UGUAUUUGUGUGUAUUCGCAGAUGACCACUCAAAGAAAUACGGUUACAGGGAACAGUUGUGGACAGAGUCCAAGGAGAGUGACAAAGGAUGUCAUAGUCCCUACUAAUCAAGUUCCAAGACUUCAGAUCCGGUUCCUUCCAGUGAAAUGUCAAAAAGAUGGCUGAUUGCUUGAAGGCCUAACAAAAUGCAGCUGGUGAAACCGGAUGUAAUGAACCAGAUGUAAUUCUGUGAACUGGACGUGUUUUCAGUUGUGCAAGUCUUGAACUGUGUGACUGAAAUUGAGAUGAAGGUCAUCUGGCUCAACUCUGAAACAAGAUUGUGCACACACAAAACAUCAUUAACCCACUGACACAUUAAAAUAUC